GUACGCUUUUCAGGAAUUCACUUAAGUGCAAUCAGUUUAGAAUAAUGUAGCCUGGAAGUAAUAUUGCUGCCAUCCAGCUAGUGUCUGUGGAACAGCAUUCUCCUGCCUUCUGAAGCAUUGGCAUUGAAGAUGGAUAGAUAUGGAGAUAUUUCUAUUUUGAGCUGCUGCCUUUUAAAAUUUUUUAAUUUUUUUUUAAAGGGAAAUUCAUGCUCACCACUAGAGAGGGGCAUGUUUUGGUUGAGAUAUUCCCCCCCCUCCGAGUGAAAUACUGGACCACAUCAGCAUCCGAUUUGGGUGCGUCAUGUGGUUUCUCAUGUGAUGCUGGUCUCACUGCGCUUUGGAGAGUGAGCCUUUGUGACUCCGCACUCUUGGACAGUAGCAUCCAGCAACAUAGGAUACUUUGGGGAGGGAAAGGAAAAGAGGCAGCCUCCCAGAAAUGCCCGAAAGCCCAGAAAAAUAAAGCAGAAAGCUGCACCGUUCGGAAGAAGCAAGGCAGUCUUUCCUCACAGCUACGAUGCUGCACCGCUUUCGACAGAACCUGCUUUUCCCUCCAUUUACCUGGGCGGCUGCUGCUCCUUCUGCUGCUGCUGGGGCUGCUGCAGUCCUGCUGCCUGCACUUCACCCUGGCUUGGCUGGCUCGAAACUCUCUCGUCUGCACAUUGCUAAGGAAGAAGAGCGAUGGAGCUGCGGAUUUUUUUUAUUGGUUCUGGAAGCCAAAGGUUGCAAUAUGUGAUGAUUUUGGGGUUUUCUGUGGCAGGGCGGAGGGAGGAGAAAGGAAGGGUGUUAAUCUAGGAUAGGGUGGGUGAAAGCUUAAAGAAAUAUUAUGUAAAGUAAUCCAGUGCUCGACAAGGGCAUCAGCAACGAGAAUCCAGCCUCUGCUGCUCCAGAGGAUUAACAUGGGGAAGUCACAGCGCUGCAGUCGGGUUUCACUUCAGUGUUCUGCUGGAGAUGGAUAAAUAAG
rnacentral:lncRNA from 1 species